UACGUAGGGUGCGAGCGUUGCCCGGAUUUAUUGGGCGUAAAGGGCGCGUAGGCGGCCACGCACGUCCGUUGUGAAAUCGCCCGGCUCAACUGGGCGGGGUCAGCGGAUACGGCCGAGCUUGAGCAAGGCUAGGGGGCAAUGGAAUUCCCGGUGUAGUGGUGGAAUGCGUAGAUAUCGGGAGGAACACCAGUGGCGAAGGCGGUUGCCUGGAGCUUUGCUGACGCUGAUGCGCGAAAGCUGGGGGAGCGAACGGG
rnacentral:rRNA from 1 species